GGGAGUGUACCGAAGUGGACAAACGGGGCAGACUGUAAAUCUGCUGGCUUAUGCCUUCGAAGGUUCGAAUCCUUCCGCUCCCA
rnacentral:tRNA from 1 species